rnacentral:rRNA from 1 species
AUGCGAUGCAUAUACACACCACGCACGCCACUACUCUUUCCUUCCCCUCUUUACCCUCCCCUGCUCCACCGCAGUAGCGGCCUGACGCUUCGCGUCCUUCGAAUCGUCAUUGCCGCCGGUGCCCGGCGCCGCGUAGAGAGGCAGCGCGAUCGACUCGGGUGCCUUCAGGUGCAGCGCCCGCACGUUCCUCCACUUCCUGGGCACGCACGCGGCGGCCGCCUCCACCGCGGCCACCACGUUCUCCACCGCCUCUUCCGGCGCCAUCGCCGCGUGCCCCACCCGCACGGCGCGGCACGUGCCGGCCUCCACGCGCAGCUCGACGCGGCGCGCCGCCUCCCUCGCGGACUCGGCCCACGCAGGGUCGGCGAGGUCGACGGGCACGACCCUGCCGCGGCCCUUGGCGCCCUUGCCGCUGCUGGGGAUCUUGAGCCGGCUGUCGACGAGGACCAGGCCGCGGCGCGCGACGGCGGGGAGGGAGCGGAGCGCGGAGGAGGGCAGCGUCUCGAUGUCGUCGGGGAGGUCGUCCGGGAGGCGGUCGGCGACGAGGAAGAUGGAGGGGAAUGGGGAGAGUGGGAGGCUGAGAUAGUGCUCGAACCGGCGGACGGGGGCAGUCUUCAAGGUGACGAGGAGGUAGACGGGCUCCGGCGCCGGGGAGGGGUGGUGCUUGAGCCACCGGAGGAGCGCGCCCACCGCGCGGACCACGGCCUCGCGGCCGAGGCGGGGAUUGGGCGCGGGGGCGGAAGCCAUCAUCGUUGGCGGCGGCGGCGGGAGCUUGGGAAUUUGGGAUGUGAUGAGAGUUGA